UGUGUAACUUUUGUUUUCUCUAUAGGUAAUAAUCGUCUUUUUUCUUUUCUUAGUUUUCUUAGUGGUUACUAUUAAUUCAGUUACCAACCUCUUUGUGAGUUGUCUAAAUCUCUUGGGUAUGUCCAGACAUAUGUCCUAGAGGUAGAUACUCUAUUCAGUGGUCUGUGCAUCUCAUCUAUCUCCCUGUCUUCCCUGGCCACAUGCCCAAGGCCAUCACUGCUUCCUCUUCCUGGUGUGGAGACCAUAGUUACUUUGUUUUGUUUCUUCAAGCCACAGCAGUCUGGUUUCCACAUGCCCCACGGCUCUGCAGUGACCUUUGUCAAGGUCAGGUUUGUGUUGCUAAAUCUGAUGGGCACUUUUCUUUUUCAUCUUUAUGUCUCAGCUGCAUUUCACACCCUGGACAUUGGACUUCCUUGAAGCAGUUUUUUAUUUUUUAUUUUUUUAUUUUAUCAUCUGUAUCUACCUUGGGUUGUGUUCUUCCAGAAGCAGACCCUGAGGAAAGAUUUGGAGAGAGACAGAGACAGAGCAUGAGCGGGGGAGGGGCAGAGAACGAGAGGGAGACACAGAAUCUGAAGCAGGCUCCAGGCUCUAAGCUGGCAGCACAGGGCCCGAUGCGGGGCUCGAACUCACAGACCGAGAGAUCAUGACCUGAGCCGAAGUCAGACGCUCAACCGACUGAGCCACCCAGGCGCCCCAUUGAGUUCUUAAUAAUGCCACUGAGCUGCUGAGUACCCAACUCUGGAACCCACCUCUGGUUUUGUUCUGUGAUAUGAUACACUGGUUAAGGUUUGAAUUUGUAUCUCCGUUAUUUGUAGUCCAAAGCAUCCCGACAGACAUAAGCACUGUUGCAAAAAACUUGGUAUAUAAUUAUAUAUAACUUUUAUGUGCUUCAGUUUCUUCAUCUCUAAAAUGGGGGUUAUAAUAUCUUCUUCAUAAGAUUUCUAUGAAGAUUGGAAGAGUUAACACACUUAGAACUGGCACAGAAUAAACAAUCAAUGUUGGUUGUAAUUGGUGUUUUAUUAUUAUUAUUUUAAAAUAUAAUGUGUUAUUAUAAUAUGUGUUCACUAUUUGUCCUAUGUUAUUAAAAUGUUCAAUUUUCAGAAUUUGGCAUUUUUCUAUUUUUGGUAUUUUCUAUUUUUACAUUAAUGUAUCAUGAUCAGAGAAUAGGGCAUUAUUUCUGCUCUUUUGUGGCAUAAAAUUGGAAUGGUUUUUGUAAAAUGUGCUUCAGUGUUUAAAAAACUAUAUUCUAUUUCUGAAAAUUAAUCUUUAAUAUAUGUCUAUUAAUGCUGCCUAUUAAUUCAGAUCAAUCAGUUCAUUCCAUGUCUAUAACUAAAUCUGAACUUGUUCUACCUUUUCUACUUUCUAAAUUUUUCCAAGAUUCACCUCUCCCUUCCAGGUUCUAAAUGGACAUUAUUCCAACUUCUUCUCAAAUUCCAGUUUGUUUCUAGACUCAGUGCUUUACCUCUAAGACCUUUGUGUUCUAUACUCUUAAAAUAACUUUCAUUAUCAAGAUUCUGGAAGAAGACUUGGAGCUAUGGCUUUUCUAGCAUCACUAGUGGACCCCAUUUUAUUCUUUUUAUCUAUAUAUUUAUUUUGGACCCCUUGUUAAACCACACUUCUUUUUGUUCUGUUUGUGAGCAGGAAGUGUCUGAAACCAGAUGUUCCUCCUUUCUAUAUGCUGUCAAAAUUUAGCCUCCUUCCCUCCCCCCACAUUGUUCCGGGCAUUCAGCUUUUGGCCACAUUAUUGCUCCAGUUCUCUGUUGCAAUGGUUCUUACACUUUUAUAUCUGCAGACUAAUUUUUUUGAGAGCAGAAGACACUAUGGAACCACCCACUACAGCUUAUCUAGGCUUCAUUGACAUUUUUAUGACCCAGGAAAGGAGUUUUCAGUGUGAGCUAAAGAGCUAAGAGUGAGACCAGUUCUACAACAAUAUCUUUGGUACUUUUCCUUACUGUUUCCUUUUUUCUUACUCCUUAUUUGCAACAUUCUUUGUCUUAUCCUGAAUUGAAGUUUCAGUUAUUAUUUAUUCAAUCAACAUUUGCUAAGCUUUAUUUAAUGUGUCAUGUACCAUGCUUAGUCUUGAGUAUAUACAUUUGGAUAAUUAAAAAUUGUUGCCUUCUUGAAUCAUGAUCUCAUGGUUAGUGGGAUUGAGCCCCGUGUUGGGCUCUGCGGUGACCACAGGGAGCCUGCUUGGGAUUCUCUCUCUUUCCCAAAAUAAACAUUUUAAAAAGUCAUUAAGAAUUUUAAAGAAUUUAAGGAAUUAAAAUCCAACCAAUAGAGACAUCAACAUAAAGCAGCUGGUAUUACUGCUGUCUGUCUAUAGCUCUUUUGUACAAAGGUCUCAGUGAUGAGUCUUCUACUGGAGUGCUAUGAAAUGAAAACAAAUCUUUUUUUCUUUUUAAAAAAAUGUUUAUUUAUUCAUUUUGAGAGAGAAAGAGAGAGCCCAAGCGAGCUGGGGAGGGCCAGAGGGGGAGAAUCUUUAUUUCUGCUCAGAUCAUGAUCCCAGAGUCCUGGGAUCCAGUCCCAAGUAGAGCUCCACGUGGAGUGUGGAGCUUGCUUGGGAUUCUCUCUGUCUCUCUCUCUCUCAAAUAAUAAUAAUCAUAAAGUAGAAAAAAAUUUUACUUGCUCAUAUUUCAAUAUUUCUAAAAAUCACUACUUUCUAGAUUCUUUGCCAAGGAAAUGCAAUCAGCAAAUACUUCUUGGGAAGAUAGCUUUAGUUCUUAUCUUAUGUGAAUUAUGUCUAAUGAUACACACACAUGUACAUAUAAAAUACAAUUAAAAUACUUCUUAAAAAUGUAAAAAAAAUUGUUGCCUUCAAUAAGCUAUAGUGGGAGAAAUAAUCUCAUAAACACUUAAUGAGAAUACAGUGUAAGAACUGCUAAUAGAGCUGUGAACAAGAGAGCCUGGGUCUGAAUAGGGAAAUCAGGGCAAGCUUCUCAGAAGAGGUGACAGUUUGAUUGACCUUUGGAGGAGUUUCUAGCAAGUUUUUAGAAGUAAGAGUUAAUAGGGAUAACAAAGAGAGGCAGAAGGAAGGCAUUCUACAUAUGUUCAAUGGUAGGUUGUAGUUACAUAAAGCUUCCGAAUAAAUGACUCCAAACUGAGUGGCUUAAUCAUUGCUGGUGGACAUGCAAAAUGGCCCAGCCACUUUGGAAGACAGUUUGGUGGUUUCUUACAAAAUUAAAUAUACUUUACCAUACAAUGCAGCAAUCAUGCUUCUUGAUAUUUAACCAAAGGAACUGAAAGCUUAUGUCCACACAAAACCCUGAACAUGGAUGCUUAUAGCAGCUUUAUUCAUAGCUGUCAAAACUUGGAAACAACUGAGAUAUCCUUCAGUAGGUGAAUGGAUAAACUGUGGUACACCCAGACAAUGGAAUAUUAUUCAGUGCUAAAAAGAAAUGAACUAUCAAAUCAUGAAAACACAUGAAGGUUUCUUAAACAUUUGUUAUUAAGUGAAAGAAGCCAGUCUGAAAAGGUUACAUACUGUAUAAUCCCAGCUCUAUGACAUUUUGGAAAGUACAAAUCUAUGGAGGCAUCAAAUAUAUCACUUUGGUGGAAGAUGCUGAUAAUGGAGGAGGCUAUACUCAUGUACAGAUAGGAGAUGUAUGGGAAAUCUUUCUAUCUUCCUAUCAAUUUUGCUGUCAACUUAAAACCACUCUAAAAAAUAAAAGCUUUCUAAAUUCCCCCCCCCCCCCCAAAUAAUGAUUUAUUCCAUGAUUUAUGUGGGUCAGGAAAUUGGGGAUUGUGUGACUGAGCAGUUCUGACUUAGUGUCUCUCAUGACGUUGUGGUCAGAUGUUAGCCAGGGCUGCAGAUAUCUGAAAGCUUGACUGGUGUUGAAGGAUCUAUUUCCAAAGUAGCUCACUCACAUAGAAGGUGAGUUGGUAUUGGCUAUUGAUGGGAGACCUCAGUUCUUCCCCAUCAGGGCCUCUUUACAGGGUAGCUUAAAUGUCUUCACAGCAUGGUGGGUGGCUUCCUCCAGAGUCCAGAGCUAGCAAUCCAAGGGACUAAGGCAGAAGCUUAAAUGCCUUGGAAGCCACACACCUUCACUUCUUUUGCAUUUUAUUAGUUACCCAGGCCAGCCAUAAUUCAAUAUGGAUGGGGUGUGAAUAUUAAGAGAGGAAAAUCAUUAGGAGACAUCUCGAAUGCUGGCUACCACAUACGGCAUGCUAAAUGUAACUGAUGCAGUGAGCUUGGGUUAUGUAAAUGGUUAGGAAUGAGGCUGAAAGUUACCUAUGUACUAAAUUAUCAGGGGCUAAGGAGUUGGCUUUUAACAGUUGGUGGUAGGAAAUAUUGAAAGAUUUUAAAGAAGGCACCUCUAGAGGGUUGAACUGUCUCUUCUUAUCUAAAUUUGUCAGCAAGGUAUCCAACACAUUUAAAUAAGCUCCAAACGUUCUCUGCUUUUUCUUUGGCCUAUUUGAAAAUUCACAUAGAUUUACAUACAUCCCAUUGUUUAACUUGUGUUAGGCUGACAUUUGGAAACUGUUAGUUUGUAUCAUACGCCAGCUUGGAUAUUCUUCCACUAUGUAAAACUUAACAUCUCUGUAUUAGUUGGGAUACUUACAGUUGCAAAUAAAAAAUUCUACUCACAAUGACUUAAGCAAUAAAAAUAAUUUACUGGCUCAUGCAACUGGAUAGUUCAGAGAUAGAAUUUCAGAUGUGGUUUGAUCCAGAGUUUCACAUUUUCAGGAGGCAUCUGGCUCUGUUUCUAUGCUGUGUUGCUUUAUCCACAAGUGGAAUUUCUUAAUGGUAGCAAAAAUGUCUGCAGUGGUUCCAAGUUUUAUAUUACACUGGAAAGAGAAAAAACUCUUUGUCCUCAGAUCCACUUUGAUGAGUCUGGCUUAGGUCACAUGCUCACACUUAAACCAUUUGCUGAAGUGAGGGGUAUGGAAUAUAAAGAUUGGCUUAGUUUAGUUCAUAUGCUCCACCCUUGGAGCUGGAGAGAACCUUACAUCACAUAGUUCUCUAAAUGGAUAUUAAGAGUUGCUGGGAAGAGGAAAUUGGAUGCUGGGAAGGUUACACGGAUGACGGGGAUUAAGGAGUGCACUUGUGAUGAGCACUGGGUGAUGUUGGAAUUGUUUGAUCACUAUAUUGUACACCAGAAACUAAUAUUACACAGUAUGUUAAUUAACUGAAAUUUAAAUAAAAACUAAGAAAAAAAGAGUUGCUGGGAAGAUGGAAAUUGGAUGCUGGGGAGGCAACCACAAGUGUCCAAUACAAAAUUAAACUGUGAUGUGGUUCAUCUAAACAACAUUUCCUGAGACCCAGCAAAAUAUAGUGUUGGGUCCUGGGAUAGAGCCAUAUUGUACACAUACAAUAUAUGUGUAUAUAUUCACUACACCAUAUAAGGUAUAUUUCUAGCUCAAGGACUACAGUGACAGGGGUGUGAUCUACUCUUUCACUCUUCUUUCUUCUCUUUCCUCUUCUUAAAUUUUUUUAAAUUAAUUUAUUUUUUAGACAGAGAGAGGGCAUAUUUGCAGAUGACAUAAUAGUCUAUGUGGAAAACCCAAAAGACUCCACCAAAAAACUGCUAGAACUGAUACAAAAAUUCAGCGAAAUUGCAGGAUAUAAAAUGAAUGUACAGAAAUCAGUUGCAUUUCUAUAUAUCAAUAAUGAAGCAGCAGAAAGAGAAAUCAAGGAAUUGAUACUAUUUACAAUUGCACCAAAAAACAUAAGAUAAAAGAUCUGUACGCUGAAAACUACAGAAAGCUUAUAAAAGAAAUUGAAGACACAAAGAAAUGGAAAAAUAUCCCAUGCUCAUGGAUUGGAAGAACACAUGUUGCUAAAAUGCUGAUACUACCUGAAACAGUCUAUACAUUCAAUGCAAUCCCUAUCAAAAUAACACCAGCAUUCUUCACAGAGCUAGAACAAACAAUCCUACAAUUUGUAUGGAACCAGAAGGACCCUGAAUAGACAAAGCAAUCCUGAGCAAGAAAACCAAAGGUGGAGACAUCACAAUUCCAGACUUCAAGCUGUAUUCCAAAGCUGUAAUCAUUAAGACAGUAUAGGACUGCUAGAAAGGCAGCACAUAGAUCAAUGCAACAGAAUAUAGAACCCAGAAAUGGACCCGCAAAUGUAUGGCCAGCUAGAAAGAUUAUCCAAUGGAAAAAAGAUAGUCUUUUCAGCAAAUGGUGUUGGGAAAACUGGACAGCGACAUACAGAAGAAUGAACCUGGACCACUUUCUUACACCAUACACAAAAAUUAAAAAUGGAUGAGAGACCUACAUGUGACAAAGGAAACCAUCAAAAUCCUACAGGAGAAAACAGGCAACAACCUCUUCGACCUUUAAGAGUCUCUUAUGGUUUGCCUCCCUCUCUGUGCCCCUUUGGAUCAGCAUUUUUGUAUCCUUUGGAUAAAUAUGUAGUAGUGCAAUUGCUGGGUUGUGGGAUAGUUCUACUUUUAAUUUUUUGAGGAACAUCCAUACUGUUUUCCAGAGUGGCUUCACCAGUUGGCAGCAACUUCUUACUAGACAUGUCUCUGGAGGCAAGAGAAAUAAAAAAAAAAUGAACUAUUGGGACCUCAUCAAGACAAAAAGCUUCUGCACAGCAAAGGAAACAAUCAACAAAACUAAAAAGCAACUGACGAAAUGGGAGAAGAUAUUUGUAAAUGACAUAUCCGAUAAAGGCAGAGAGAAGAAGGAGCUGUACCAUUCAACAUCAAGGAAGAAUUGUUAAUUAUAGAUCCCAACAGAAGACUCUUCAACAGGAAAGAAUGAUAAAUUAUAGGCCCCAACAGAGAAAGAUGUGUACUGCAUCACCUACAAGAAAUUGAUCACCCCUGCAAUUCAGCCAAUGAGAAAUGGUCAUCAUCCUGAACUCUUGCUUCUCUCCAGUGGACUUUCGUUCAAAAUAACCCCUCCCAGCUUCUUCUUUCUUUUCUAUAAAAUAAAAUUCCUCUCCUUUGUUUGUUGGACUUGCCUGUGGUUUUGCCAUAGCUUCUAUAUACCAAACUGCAAUUCUCUGCUAUUGUUGA